GGUGCAGUGGUGCAGUGGGUAGCACUGUAAUCCCACAAUACAUGGGUUAUGGGUUCAAAUCCAGUCUGGGGCC